UCUUUCGUUUGUUAGUUAUUACGAUCUUUCAGGUUUCCAUCAUUGCUAUGGUGGUUACUAUGGACUCUGCUGUCGCUGAUGUACUUCCACCAGUUUUUUCUUCUUCUUUUUUUAUUGCCAACCUUCUCCUGCUUCAGGUAAGAACGCAACUGUGUUAGUAAAUCAGAAAUGCAAUGAGCUAUAUUGCCUUGACACCAAUCAGUUUUGUCAAUAACAAAGUUUGACAAAUUUAGAUAGAUAGAUGUACUUUAUUGAUUGUGACUAGACUAGGCUUUCUUGAUUGUGCUCUCACUCUACUUUUAUUACUGUUUUACAGAUGACCAGUUUCUCUCAUCUCUCAGUCCCUCUACCUUCCUUUACACAACCAACGGCUCUUUUAAGAGCCAACCAUUUGUCAACAACAAUAUCAGAGGCAAGCUGGGACAGAAGUCUAUACCAUAUAGGGUGCACUUUCCCCACAGAUCAGAGAUGGAGGAUUGAGCAUCUUUUAGUUUUGCUGUUUCGGCACUAUGGCAGCAGAUGAGGCUACCCUUAAGGAGCUGAUCAGAAAGGCACAGAGCCUGGCAGAGCAUCUCAACUCACUAGUCGAGCCUGCACAGGUGAACAAAAGAAGAUCAAAACCACCAGUCCAGAUCUGAUGGAGAAAGCGGGAUAAAGAUGGCAGCAUUAUUGCCCAGACCAUCAAGUCCUCUUCAUCCAAAUCCCGUGGUGGAAGGCCCAGAUGACUUUACCUCAGUGUUCCUGAGGGGACAUCAGUGGAGAUGCCUGAUGAGGAAGAGGCAGGACUCAAAUAUUGCCAAUGGAAAUGCCACACCAGAUUUGUGACUCCCCCCCAGAGAAUGUGUCUGUCAUUGCUGGGAGGCCUGUGGUGUUCAUCAACAUGAAAGGACGAGAUGAUCUGACCCUCCCAGAGCUGUGAUGUGGUGGCUGCUGUGCCAGCUGGACCCCAGGGCUGUACCAUGUCCAAGUCAGUGGCUACUGGCCUGCCACCAUCCAUUUCCAUACCAUCUAUGAUGUAGCUAUGAUUCAAGCUUUACGGGAGAUGAAGUUGGCUGCUCCAGGGAUUUCCCACCUGACCUUUAUGAGAAUGCUGGAAGC